rnacentral:lncRNA from 1 species
GGAAAACAGAUGUUGAAGGAUGGAAAAUUCUGCCCAUACGUCGUGAAGAGCUCACUUGGGAAGUUUCCUAACGCAGAGAUAAAUUAGGAAGCAGAUCCUGGUGCCGGAUCUUGGUAUACAAGUUUGUUUCCGAAGAGCCCAGGGUUGAAAAUUAACUUCAGGACAAAACACCGCAGUCCAGAAGAGUGGUGGUGGUAGCCAGAGGCUUUUUUCUUCGGAUGACAAAACUGAUGGGGCAGGAUGUGGCAGCCCAACUGUGUGCCUGUGCUCCAGGCUAACUAGUUUUCCUGGGUUUGGAUCCUGUGUUCAGAGACCCACUGGGUUGUUUGACCAAGAAAGGCUCCGUUUUCCCUCUUCCAGAGGGAGCAAUCACGUGCCCUCACCAGAACAAGCCGGAGUCCUCGGCCCUGCAUGCAAUCUGAUUUCUCUCAGAGCCUGGAGCAGCCCGCACACCAUCUGCGUCCACGUUCGUGGGACUAUGAAGUGCUGACACAGGACUGCAGCUCGG